UACAGAGGUCUCAAGCGUUGUUCGGAUUCAUUGGGCGUAAAGGGUGCGUAGGUGGCGCGCUAAGUCAGGUGUGAAAUCCCGAGGCUUAACCUCGGGACUGCAUUUGAUACUGGCGUGCUUGAGGACUGGAGAGGAGACUGGAAUUUACGGUGUAGCAGUGAAAUGCGUAGAGAUCAUGAGGAAGACCAGUGGCGAAGGCGGGUCUCUGGACAGUUCCUGACACUGAGACACGAAGGCCAGGGGAGCAAACGGG
rnacentral:rRNA from 1 species